UACGUAGGGGACGAGCGUUGUCCGGAAUUAUUGGGCGUAAAGAGCGUGUAGGCGGCCCUGCAAGUCCUGCGUGAAAUCUCGAGGCUCAACCUCGAGCGGUCGUGGGAAACUGCAGGGCUAGAGUGCGGGAGAGGGAAGUGGAAUUCCAGGUGUAGCGGUGAAAUGCGUAGAUAUCCGGAGGAACACCGGUGGCGAAGGCGGCUUCCUGGACCGACACUGACGCUGAGGCGCGAAAGCUAGGGGAGCAAACGGG
rnacentral:rRNA from 1 species